GGGGAAAAGAAGAAAGUUAUCAACAACAACAAUAAUCACGAAAUCUGAAAUUUAAUCCAUUUAAUUAGAAUAGUUAUUUGACAACAAUCAUAUAAUUCAAAACAGUAGGGUUUUUUCAUUUUCCUAAACUUUACUCAACACAUACAAGCAAACACAUUUGGCUAAGGUACCACCUUCUCCUUCCUGAGCCAAAAUUGCUCUCACUUUUAACUUCUAACUCCCAACAUCACUAACAACAACGGGUGGAAUGGGUGUAGUAACAUCUAACGUGUGAAGGCUAUUAUGAUUUAUGCAACCAAUCCCAUAGUUCAAACAACACUAAGAAAAUUUCCUAGGGAACAAAAUCAUUCUAGGAAUUCAAUAUAAACAAAAAUCAACACAAACAUGCAUACUAUUUUAUUAAAAAAGAGGGGCUGUUGAUAUAAAAAAGGAUCUCACAAUAGACAAAGAAUAGGGCUAAAAUUUUCUCCCAUAAACUACAUUUUCCCAGAUUUGAAAUGAACAAAUAGGAAUAGCCAAACAGAAACAUCUAAUUAAGUAAAGGGGCAGUUGAAAUUGAAAAACUUACCAGUUAGAAGAAACUGUUUUGAGCAAGAGAGAUUGGAGACUGAAAGCCCCC
rnacentral:lncRNA from 1 species